UUAUCUAGAGGUAAUUUAAUGUUGGAAGUCAUUUGUAGAUUGUGCAUGUUACAUUGAGGUUAAAAUACUUCUGUUGUUGCACUGUGGACACUGGGCUAUGAAAGUGACAACACAUCUAUGUUAUUUCAUUAAGGGAGUUUAGAUUUACAUUUAAGUCGAAUACACGUGCUCUAUAUUACUUAAUUGAAAGUUUGUAAACAAAAUGGCGACACAGUCUGAUAGAGUUACCUUCUUCUGUUGUGUAUUAUGCAAGAAAAACAAGAAUAUCGAAGAAUAUGCAGUGUAUUACUGUGAAAAAUGACAACAGUGUUUUUGUAGGGAGUGCUAUGAGUUAUAUCAUGAUUAUUUGUUUAGUGAACAUUUAAAGUACGACCUGGAAAAUAUGAGAAACUGGCCAGUCUCAAAGGAGUUGGAGGCUGUUAUACUAAUGUGUGGAAUACACAGUCAUAAACAACUAGAGACGGUCUGCAUAGAUCACAGUUAGCUGUGCUGCUCAAAAUGUGUUUCCUUAAGUCACAGAAAAUGCCAAAAAGUAACACUUACCUCAGCAAAGAAACAGGCAGCAGACCUACAAGACCUGUUUGAGAAGCUCCUGAUCAAUAUGAGAAAACCGAGGAAACUGCAGAGUUGCUGUGAGUCUGGAAUCGAGGAUCUGAAGAGUUCAUACCAGGGGCAAGAACUCAUGGUACAGAAAAUGAAAAACACAAUUAAAUCCUCUAUGGACAAAAUUGUGAGGAGAGCUUUAAAGAAAAUACCUAAAGUUGAGCAAAACAAAAUCCAUGAAAUAAUGCGUUCCACCUUGUUUGAUAUAGAGAAUAUUACUUUGAAUGAAGAAAAAUUACACUAUUAAGACUUGAAGAUUCUCUCAAGACUGGUGUUGAAACCUGCAUCCGUCAUCAUCAUGAAUUAAAAGCACUCUAUGAACUACUUCUAUACAGCAGUGACAACAACAAAAAGAAACUCUGCAUUAUAGCUAGUCGAAAAUGCAUGGACAAAAUACAACAAGUUGAAUCAUACCUGAAUGAGAACAGUGUUAAACUUGAAUGUUCGGUAUUAAACCAGACUAAACAAGGCACUGAGCAGUACGUUGUCAAAUUAUUAGGUCUGGGAAGGCUGACAGAGAGUAUGAAAGCUAACACUGACAUUGAACAGUACUUGUCUUAACUAUCAGGUCUUGUGAGAAUUGUUUUGCAUAACCAUGUGUUCACUGUCCAGGGGAUGUCUGAGCACACUGUGAGAAUACCAAGUGAUUCAGGAACAUGCUUUAUCACAGCCAUCUGUGCUCUCCCAGAUAGGCAGGUCCUCGUUUCAGACUGGGUUAAUAAAAAAAAGUCAAGCUGCUGAACCAGCAGUACCAGGUGGUGAGUCACUGUGGUGUGACAGUUAGGCCAUGGGACAUGUGUUUGAUCACACCAAAUAAGGUUGCAAUGACUGUGGAUAAACUACGUAACAUACAUGAGGUCCAGUUUAUCACAGUCACCCAAAGCCAGCUUGUCCUAGGCAGGAAGUUUCAGUUACAGCAUGGAUGUAUUGGUGACAAGCUGUACAUUAUCAACUACUGGCAGCACAAGCUCCUCAUCCUGGCCAGGGAUGGAACACUCCUGGCUACCUUCACAGACCAAGAACUACGAGGCCGAGAGGGUGUACAUGUGACCCCUGCAGGUCAGGUGCUGGUCUGUGGAGGCCUGUCCCACACUAUACUACAGGUAGACUGGGAGGGGAGGAAUAAGCUGGCCAUUCUGGCUACAGGGAGGGAUGGAGUGGUGUACCCAUGAUCAGUCUGCUACAGCAGCACUACAUCCUCCAUAAUUGUGGGACAGGCAUGGAGGAACAACAUACUGGUGUUCACGGUGGAAUAACGUGUACAUUGGCUACUGAGUCAAGCAACAAUGCUGAGGAUGUGGUGGACAAGAAUGACCUUAAUACGCAGAAGCAAAUGCUCAGCACAGACGACAACUAUCUAGUGAACAUCUCACCCGUAUCAAAGUCAAGCGAUGUGAGGGGGGCGCGGCCUUUCCAUGUCCGCGUAUUGCAUCAUGAAGGACAUUUGAGCUGACACUUGCAAGGGAGAGAACUGUAGAUCAGUACCAGC